rnacentral:lncRNA from 1 species
GGCAUGUUUCGGCGGCUCUCAGUUCAAUACCUCGACGAGGUCCACCUGCAGACUCGUGUACUUAAGUUUACAGGGUUCGCUGUAAAUUAGGAUCUCGACUGGUUGUUCCAGCAGGUAUUCCAGUUCCACCAUUUCUCACCGACAGGCUCCAUCAAAUAUGCGGAAUAAUUUGAUACAUCAAACGAAUCCUUCAGCACCAUUCAAUCAGUUCCUUCCGAGACAGUACCGGGAAGGCACUGGAAGUCUACAGCGAGGGUCAUCCCUUCCCCACUUCGAACAGCGCAGGAGCAAAAGCAUUGAGAAUGUACACAGUGAAGCCAACCAGGUGGCAGCUUCAAUGAGGGAUGUCCGGUGGCAGCAGGAUCUUGAUAAAUGGAAGGAGAAACGGUGUGGUGCAAACGCAGACCUUCUUCAGCGGAAGAGCCUACGGGAAAAUCUGAUCUGGGAACAAGGUGCUGGCUUACACAAUGGACAUUCUAGAAACUUUUUGGGAACUCAACUGGAGAAUGGAGGAUCAUCACGUAAACCAGAAUUUGGAAAAGCGAGAGCAUACGGUAGUCUUGACAGACACAGCAGACUUGCUGAUUAUCCAACCUCGACUGAAUCUUAUCGAACCUUACUAAAUAGACAAACUCCAAGUUCUACUUACCACAAUGUGACUACUGUGGAUGCUCCUGUUGCCUCUCGACUCUCGAAUCCAAAUGAAAGUUCUCAGGCAAGUGAUCUCAAAACAUUUGUGAUUGUCAAGUUCACACUGUUCCAUGGUGAUAUUAGUGGAUCAUUGUGUUGCUUCUUUCCUUUCCAGGCUCGAGUGCAAAUGGUGAGAGAGUCACCGGCCUCGUCCUAUUCCUCGACAAAGCCAUUGGACAAGCUUCCUGUGCCUAGAAAUGAGCCAAUCGCUGAAGAUUCGGAUGAAGCUUCAUAUAGAGGAUAUUUGAAAGGGGAAAGGUCAAGCACAGAAAGCCGAAUAGAUGUGGAACCUUCUUCAAAAGUCCAUGUACCGCGUGUGCUGACGCCUUCUCAAGCAUUUGAGGGCGUAGCGAGAGUCGACCCCAUUGACGAUUCAGAAUCGACUGCGAAGACCGUUCGUUCAUCGGUGAUGUUGACAUUAAGUCGGCAGCAGCACACAGAGCCAAAGGCUGUUCAUAACACCAGGGUCCAGUCCCUGCAGUCAAUUGGGAAACAAGAAUUGAAGACUGCACCUAAUUUUGCCUUAAAGACUCAACAGUCAGCAUGGCAGAUAAAAUCGACACCGAAAGUAAUUCCUAAUGAAGUGACAUCGCAUGAUGCAAGUACCUGGGCUGGGUCGAUGGAGGAUGGGGAAUGGGAG